CCGUCCAAUGUUGCCUUUGGCAACUACACCAGAGGUGCCAAAGGCAUCCAAUCCAACUCAGGUGGAGGCCAAGGAGGUUCAGCUCUCGGACAUUGCACCAAUAAUGCUGGAUGAUACCGACGUGAAGACUAAAAUAGAUGACAUCGCUGAACUGGACAUUGCAGAGGAUUUUGAUAACCGGCCUUCCAAAAAGGCAAAAAUUUCUGAAUCACGUGUACUGGAACCAUCACCUAUGUCACCAACUAUGAAAACAUCUUCUCCAGGUUCAGAGUGUUUUGAAUCGUUUGUGCCGGAAUCAGAUAAUCAGAUGAAUCAUGAUACACUACCAUCACCUCCAUCCCCAUCUAGCUCGACAAUAUCUCCUGUUUUCCCAUUGCAUGAUAUUAAGGAACCAAAUUCACAUAAAGAGAUCAAAGUUGAUGAGACAUAUGAUUAUCUCCCACAAGACUAUACAUUGACCGACCAUGAUCUAUGUGCUCAUAUAGCAAUAGAAUCAUCUUUGAGAAAACAAUUGCUGGUUCAGAUAGAUGGAAGUUCUGUCUUGCAACAUCAAUUGAUGUGCCUGCUAGAUGAGAAAGAGUGGGUAAAUGAUGAUGUGAUCAAUGCAUAUAUAUGUUGUAUAAAGGACCAAAUACAUCUCCAGAAUGAUAAUAAAGUAUAUUUUGAGAGUCCAUUUGUUACCUCACUAUUUAAACGAGAUGGCACCAUUGGAAUACAAGAAGGUAGUGCCUUCAUGACAGAGAUUGUCCUCGAAUAUAUGCGGCAUGACAUGGUAAUCUCCAUAUUCAUAAUUUACAUGUUCUAGGUUUCAUGCAUUUUCAUUUACUAUUUUCCUAAUUAUCUUUAUUACAGAUUAAACUUCCAAUAAAUGCCAAUAACACACAUUGGUAUUUAGUUGUUGUGAAUACAAAAAAAUGUGAGGUUCAAGUUCUAGACUCAUUGUGCUGGAAUUCUGACAGAGAUGAUCUUGCUAAUACGCUACGAGGAAUACAAUUUCAUUUGGACCUUCUUAAAAGUCAAAAGUUGGUAAGCGACGAUUGGAAAGACGUUGAUCUUACUGAAUGGAAGAUCACAGAACAAUUACAAAAGGCAAUUCAAAAAGAUAGUUCUUCAUGUGGUUUAUUUAUGGUUAAAUUUAUGGAAUAUUUCACCGGAUGUGCACUAUCCUACCCAAUUACACAGGUAUAUAUCUUUUUUUAAUAAAAAGUAUGUUACUUUUACAAAAAGUACUUUUUAAAUAUACUAAUAAUUGUUCGUGUUGCACAGGAAAUGAUUACUUCUUUUAGGUUUAAGUUAGCCAGCAUACUAUUAUGUUGGAAAACAAACACUGCAGCAAUGACUACAAUCGUUGAAGAAAGUGACGAUGACAGCAAGGGAGAUCCUGAUGAUGUUCAAAUAUUGGAAAGUUUAGAUGAUAUAAAAAAACAAAAACAAAAAUCCCAUUAUAUGUUGAAAAUAAAUACAGAUCACUAAUAUCAAUUCUUUCUAAUAUGACCUUACAUGAGUUAAUAGCUGGACUCUAUAGCUUCAUUAAAUCAAUUAAUUACACCGAGAUUUUAGAGAAAGUAUGGAUCCGAAGUUCAAAACCAUAUCCAAUUAGCUUGUCUCUCAGAAAACUACAAGGAUUGCUAAAGGAUGAUUUACCCAUGGACCGUGAUUGCUUUAAUUUGAUCGUACGGAAGAUUAUGUUGGAUGACAUCCAAACAUCACAAAAAACAAAGCAACUGAUAGCAAAGCAUUAUCUCGACAUGAAAUUUUGGAUGACUACUGAUUUUGGAAGGCACCCAGAUUUUCGUAAAAAGUUAGAUGUGGAGCAACUAGCAAAUUCUGUUCGUAGUUGGCCUGGUAUCAAAUAUAAUGUUUCAACAUGCAAAUCGAUCCAUAUUCCAGUACAAUGCAUUGAUGAAUUCAUUCUAUUCACAUUGGAUCAAGAUACCAGAACAGUGUACAUUUUGGACCCUACUCCUAUUAAUCCAAUGUACCGAUACAACCCACUCGCAAAAUAUGUGAAAAAAAUUAUAUGGAUUUCCGAACAUUUACCGAAAGCAAUGUCAAAAGCAUGCUCUGGGUCUAGAUGGAACGAUGAUAUUCUCUUAUG